UACGUAGGGGGCUAGCAUUGUCCGGAUUUAUUGGGCGUAAAGAGCGUGUAGGCGGCCAGGUAGGUCUGCUGUGAAAACUCGAGGCUUAACCUCGAGAUGUCGGCGGAAACCAUCUGGCUAGAGUCCGGAAGAGGAGAGUGGAAUUCCUGGUGUAGCGGUGAAAUGCGCAGAUAUCAGGAAGAACACCCGUGGCGAAGGCGGCUCUCUGGGACGGUACUGGACGCUGAAGACGCGAAAGCGUGGGGAGCGAACAGG
rnacentral:rRNA from 1 species